rnacentral:tRNA from 1 species
AAACAAAUAGCUUACAAAAAGCGCUGCACUGAAGAUGCUGUGACAGGCCCUGCCUUUUGUUUA